UACGUAGGGACCAAGCGUUGUUCGGAUUUACUGGGCGUAAAGGGCGCGUAGGCGGCAAUUCAAGUCAUCUGUGAAAUCUCCGGGCUUAACUCGGAACGGUCAGGUGAUACUGCUUUGCUAGAGUGCGGAAGGGGCAAUCGGAAUUCUCGGUGUAGCGGUGAAAUGCGCAGAUAUCAGGAGGAACACCGGUGGCGAAGGCGCCACUCUGGGCCGGUACUGACGCUGAGGAGCGAAAGCGUGGGUAGCAAACAGG
rnacentral:rRNA from 1 species